CCAUGUUUCAUGAAGCCUUUAGAAGACUGUUGUUGACCUCUGUUGAAUGCAGGUAAUGGGCCGUGUGGUGACAGAAAGGAGUCUGGCAUUACCCCAACAAUCAGUGGCAGAGGAUCUCUCUUUCGGCUGCUGCUGACGACAACCGCUGAACCAGCCAGACAACAACCCACAGUCUACUGUACUGUUCCAUAAAGAAGUCAGCCAUGGUAUCAUGAAUGACGUGGGCCAUCGUUCAAACAAAGAUGUCUC